rnacentral:lncRNA from 1 species
GUCAGAGUCACUUGCCUUCAAGAUUGUCCCUACUCCCGCCUUUAACAUGUUGAUGAACCUCUUUAAUGUGUUUACAACUUGCAGAUGAUAAAGACUUUCACUUAAUGUGUAAAAAAUUUUGAUCUCUAAUGCAAUGCUAGGAUGUGAAUAAGGCAGGCAGUAUUACCCCAGGUUUUCAGAUGAUAGACAGGGCUGGGAGCCUCAGUGACCAUGCGCUCGCACAGGCAGGUGGUCAGUGAAACUGAAAGUCAGCACAGUGCAACUAUUCAGCAGAAUGCAACUAUGGGAACAGGGCAGCAACAAGAGUCUCAGAGAACCACAGAGCCGCCAUUAAAGAGAGAACUGAAACCAGAAGCUGGAUUCUUGUAACACCCCCUGCUUCAACUGCAGAGCAUGCACAUGGAGCUGUCUCCAUGUCAUGGUUUCUGGUCAGGCCCUUCCUUAGUGAUCACUGUGUGUGUUUUAGAAAAGGGCUGUCAGUGUGAUAUGGGGGAGGAAUUCAGUGUGGGAAAUUCUGCUGUUGACAGUACCGUGUAGCACACAGAGCAUCAAUUUUAGGGUCAGAAGCACCUAGGUUUUAGUUUGAACUCUACCCUCCCUAGCUGAGGAGUAUGAGCGAGUUUCUUAAGUUCUUUAAAUUUCAUGAUCUCCAUAUGGAAAUCGGGAAGAAGAAUACCUACUUUACGGUUUUUGAGGAGGAUUAAAUGAAAUAUGUGUACAGAGUGCUCAGCCAAGUGUCUGGCUGUUGGGAUUUGUGUCCUGCCUCUGACUCCUUUGUAUCACUUUCCUUUCAUCGGUGUCAGAAAAUAGGAUUCACGCCAAGGAGCCUGACACUCACCCCACCACACCUACCAGGCUGACUUGUUUUAGUAGUCAGGCAUUAAUCCCUUCCACCGUCUUCUCUCUUUGGGGAGCUACGGAAUCUGGGGAAAGACACGCUA